UAAACAUGCAGAGGCUUUAAUUAAACCACGUUGACGUUAGCUUUCCACAAAUGAUUUUGAAGAAGAGGAAGAUGCGGUCGAUGGGAGAAAGUACUCUCUGUGAAUGACAGUUUUGGAUUGUAUGCUGAAGAAGUGUGGAUUCUCCUUGAAAGAACAUAUUCCAGCUGAUAGUCAUGAUCUUCAUGCAAAAAUCAAAGCUACUGUUGUGAGAACAUACAUAUACUGCCAAGUCAUUUCUGCUUCAAGAUUUGUGGUGUAGUUCCUCACACAAAAUUCCCGCUGUCUUCAAGGAUGUUAAAUGAGAUAACUUCAUUCAUCGCUGAGAAAAGGGUCAUCUUCCACGUACGGAUCUGUGCAAAUCUCCAUUCUACAAAAGGCUUCAAUGGGAAAGAUUCUGCAGUCACAUGAACUGCAGUCAGAUGAUGAUGUGGGAACGUGGUUGAGACUUGAGCGUCUCCCCAGGACCUGAGAAACCUUCAGCAUCAUACGUUACAGCAAGGAGGAGCUGAGGGAGAUGUAUGCGUGUUGAAGGGCUGGUGUUUUAGCCAGCUCGGAGAAUAAAGGCACUUCUGGAAUCACUUCUGCUGCUUGAUUGGAAUGAAUUAAUAAUGGUUUUUAAAAAUGUUCUCUGGGAGGUUCUGAGUGAAAGUCACGGGGUGUUUGUGCAGCCAGGAAAAAUGCCUUUGUCCAGCCAAAAAGCAAGGCAGGUCAGUCCAAGCCAAGACUUCCCCUUUCCCAGAAGAAAGAUCUGACUUUUAAGGAACAAUUAUGUCAAAGAGAGUUUCCUCAAAGCACACAGCUCCGGCAGCACAGGGUGACUCAUUUCAGCAUGACAAAAUCACCAUACGUUCAUGCCAGGGGCUGCUGCAGUUCUUUAUCUGUGCAUUUUACAGGCCUGCUGCUUCCUCACCGUCCUUGCACCAGUCCUGCUGCCAAAAGCACAGGGCAAUGCUCUCCUAGGGGUUAAUCAGGCUCGAGGCUGUUGAUAUUACCAGGUCCUGUGCAAAGGGAAGCUCUGCCUCUCCCCAUGCCCUUCAAAACCAGAUUGCAAACCCCUGCAGGUGCACACCCAAGUGUUUGGAUGGGCUUAGCUGCGAGAAGAUUACAAUAUCCCUGAAAGGUAACACUGGAGAUACUGCUGCCCCUCACCCAGAGGGUUAUUUUAGGGCCAGCUCUACAGGAAAACACCAAAUCUGGGUUUUCAGUGUGGGUUUGCUCCUUCUGUGAGCAGGAAGAGCUGGCCAUUGUGUCUGUGCCAGAUGUGUGCUACCAGUGAGGUCCCACAGGAAUUCACAGGAUGAAAUACGAGAUCAAAAGCAAUACAGAACACAGGCAGGUGAUUCUCCUUAAGCAUCUUGCCUAAAGUCCUCACAAAAAGGUCAAUAUUAUGUGGCCUCAGUCCAUUUGGAAAGGCCUAUAAGGAACAAUAAAAAGUGUUUCUACUUUUAACUAGUUUUAUUGCGUAUGAGAUAUAAAUUAAGCAGAUGAAUGUUAUUAGAGAAGCACUCUCCUGAAUACUACAUCCCACUAACUAAAUUAGCAGGAAGUCUUAAAACAUAUAAUCCAAACAUUGCAUUCAUUACGAAGGGGAA